AGACACGCUCUGCCUAUAUUGACACAGCACGCGACGCACUGGGGGCUUUUCAUUUGGAAAGAGGCACAAAAGAAGAAUGGCCGGAGGGAGAGAUACGUUUUGGUAAAAGCCAGGACAGCUGACAGUGACAAUGUGAACUGGGCCACUAUGGGGAAAUACUUCAGAGGCUGAUGGGAGCCUCGGAGCCUCAGGUCUGUGUCCGCCUCAGGUUGUCCUUCACACGGACAAACUCCGGGAUCUUCUGCUGGUUUUCCCGCUGCCUGAUCUCCUCCUGCUCAUACUGGAAAGACACAAGACAACUUCUGCUGCCUCUUGCGGAGCUCCGUCUCCAGAUCUGAGGGUCGCCUUCUGGCCAACUCCUCCUCCUUGUGCAACUCCAGUCUGCGCUGCUCCAGCACUCGCUUCAGCUCCGGUUUUUCCUCAGGAAAUAGGCCCCUAAAGGGUCAGUCAGUCACAGUUACAUACACAGUCCAACGGGCUCUGCUUUAAAUGUUGACCACAUUAAGAUCAGACAGUUGGGGUGUUGUGCUGGAACUCCUAUACCGUUUAUGACUGAGCAGCAGCUCCCGGUGCAGGUUCUGGUAGCUCGGUACCUCCACUUGAGAGCCGUUCAGUCUCCGGGGCUGGACGGCCUCGUCCCUGCUGCAGCCCGCUGUGGACUGACGGGACAGGCGCUGGCGGCCAACAGACGCCUCUAAGGAACACAAACCAACUCAUAUCUCUUCCUGCUAACUUUUAAGAUUUUAAUCAUAAAGUAUUUACAUAUAUAAUGAACAAGUGAACAACAUUUAUAUAUCAAAUAUAUGUCAAGUAGGUACUUAUUAAGAUCAUUGUAUCAAAUCAUUCCUAAUUUAUCAUUCAAACAGAUGAUUAUAGAUCAAUCAAUCAUUCAAAUACAUUGAUUAAUCUACUUUAUAAAUCUCAUAGCUUAAUCAUUUAAAUAUACGUUUUUAAACAUGUGAGUGAUACUUUCUAUCAAUCAAAUAUUCUAAUCAUCAGAGUAAUCAACUGUUUUUGAUUAGUACUUCCAUUUACAUUCAGCUUUUGUGCGAUAAAUACCUUUCUUGUGAUUUCCAUAUCCUGUUUUCUGUAGAUUUAAAAGGAUGAAAGAAAAUGAUGUAAGUAUCUGCAUAUAUUUACACUUAAGAACACAGGCUGAAGACUUGGCAUGCCUAUAACUCAACCAGACAGAAACCUUUGCCACACCCGCUGAAAUCAGAUAACCAUGAGGAGAGGAAUUAACAGAUGGUAGAUGCUGGUGUAAGUCAAGCAUGCUUCCCCUCAGUUCACCAUAAGAUCAAUGAGCUCUGUUUGUGUCUUUUUAUGUUCCUGCAGAGACAUAAGCCUCCCGAUCCUGUCCCUCCUCAGGCUCCUGCGGAGAGUUUAGAGCUGACAGAUAACCUGACGGGUGUCUGACCUGCUGCACGCCAUUGUUCCAGUCAGAGCCUGCAGGGCUGGAUUGAUUCCAGAAAAAUCUCUCCACCUAAUCUCAUAGUUGAUCUUUCUCUCUACAACAGAUGGUCAUAAAUGCUGACCCUCUACCUUUGGUUACAUAGUUGAUUUGUUUUCAUUCUAACAUGAGAACCCUUACAAUUGAAAGAACUAAUGUUUAUCAUGAUGACAAAGAUAAGUCAUGUUUAAAUGCAACAUGUGGUGUCAAAUGUAUUUUGGAUGAAUCAUUUGAGAAUCAAUGUAGGAUUUAAAUAAACAUGAAAGCAAAAUUACA